UACGUAGGGUGCGAGCGUUGCUCGGAAUCACUGGGCGUAAAGCGCACGUAGGCGGACUCUUAAGUCAGGGGUGAAAUCCUGGAGCUCAACUCCAGAACUGCCUUUGAUACUGGGAGUCUUGAGUUCGGGAGAGGUGAGUGGAACUGCGAGUGUAGAGGUGAAAUUCGUAGAUAUUCGCAAGAACACCAGUGGCGAAGGCGGCUCACUGGCCCGGUACUGACGCUGAGGUGCGAAAGCGUGGGGAGCAAACAGG
rnacentral:rRNA from 1 species